CCCUUAGACGUUCUGGGCCGCAUGCGCGCUACACUGACCAGUGCAACAAGCAUCCGUCCUUGGCCGACAGGCCCGGGCAAUCUUUGAACGCUGGUCGUGAUGGGGAUAGACUUUUGCAAUUUUUGGUCUUCAACGAGGAAUUCCUAGUAAACGCAAGUCAUCAACUUGCAUUGAUUACGUCCCUGCCCUUUGUACACACCGCCCGUCGCUACUACCGAUUGAAUGGCUCAGUGAGGCCUCCGGACUGGCUUAGGGAGGUUGGCAACGACCACCCCGAGCCGGGAAGCUGGUCAAACUCGGUCAUUUAGAGGAAGUAAAAGUCGUAACA
rnacentral:rRNA from 1 species